GCCUGGGAUAGCUCAGCUGGUAGAACAUGAGACUUUUAAUCUCAGGGUUGUGAGUUUGAGCCCCACCUUGGGCA